AGGAUAAUAGUUAAAUUAACAUUUAAUUUGCAUUUAAAAAAUACUGAAUUCAGUUUAUCUUA
rnacentral:tRNA from 1 species